rnacentral:rRNA from 1 species
GACGAACGCUGGCGGCAAGCUUAACACAUGCAAGUCGAACGCCGUAGCAAUACGGAGUGGCAGACGGGUGAGUAACACGUGGGAACGUGCCUUUCGGUUCGGAACAACUGAGGGAAACUUCAGCUAAAACCGGAUACGCCCUUCGGGGGAAAGUUUACGCCGAAAGAUCGGCCCGCGUCAGAUUAGGUAGUUGGCGGGGUAAUGGCCCACCAAGCCGAUGAUCUGUAGCUGUUCUGAGAGGAAGAUCAGCCACACUGGGACUGAGACACGGCCCAGACUCCUACGGGAGGCAGCAGUGGGGAAUAUUGGACAAUGGGCGCAAGCCUGAUCCAGCUAUGCCGCGUGGAUGAAGAAGGCCUUCGGGUUGUAAAGUCCUUUCGGCGGGGAAGAUAAUGACGGUACCCGCAGAAGAAGCCCCGGCUAAUUUCGUGCCAGCCGCCGCAGUAA